rnacentral:rRNA from 1 species
GACGUAGGUGGCGAACGUUAUCCGGAAUUAUUGGGCGUAAAGGGUGCGUAGGUGGUCUGAUAAGUUAUCAGUGGCAAAUCGAGGCUCAACCUCGUGGAAACUGGUAAUACUGUCAGGCUUGAGUGCAGGAGAGGUUAACGGAACUCUAUGUGGAGCGGUAAAAUGCACAGAUAUAUAGAAGAACAUCAAUAACGGCGAAGGCAGUUAACUAUUCUGUUACUGACACUGAGGCACGAAAGCGCGGGGAGCAAAACGG